GCAACUGCACCAGGUCGCAGUGCUCCUGAGUGAGGAUGGUGGAUGAUGUAGACGAGGACAGCUCCCGGGUGGACGAUGCAGAGGAAGAGGAGCCGAUGGUCAAAGACACGGAGCUUGUCUUCUUCUGCACCCUCUGGACGCUACACCGUGACACACAAAAGGUCUGUUGUGUGCUCAUCUGAGCGCGCCUUGAGACACGCCCACGGGCGUUCCUCUCCUGCUCCGGCCACGCGGAGCUGCACACAAUCAGCAAUCUACACCCCUGCUGCUGAUGAAAGCUCCACGUCCUUCAUAAGCCAGCAGAACCUGUGUUCCAGUGCCAGAACGUAGCUACUUGUCUCGUACAUUCCUCUUCGUUCCCUGGAUUCGAGCUGUGUGUCUCGUCUCUCCAGAUUCCCUCCUGUCUUCUUGCCGCCUUCCUGGAUUUUGACCCCUCGCCUGGACACGGACUCUGACGCUUCGCCCCUUCCCUUGACCUCUUGCUUGCCCACAGACCUACGAACCUGCCUUGCUCCUUCUGGAGUUCCCCCCCUUCCUCAACACACACCUUCAACAACUCCUGGUAACACUCAGCUAACCCAACACAUAGUCACACCAUAUGUAUUUGAAUUACU